rfam:Asian citrus Psyllid, Diaphorina citri - Florida Strain, whole genome shotgun sequence.
GCCUAGUUAGCUUAGUUGGUAGAGCGUCUGCCUUGUAAGCGCUAGGCCGCGGGUUCGAUUCCCGCCCGGGGC